CUGAAGCAAUUCCUUUGACCUCUUGGCUUGGUUUUUGCUCUGAUAUGCAUUUUUAGCUGUGUGCCAAUCAUGUCCAAUCAAUUGAAUUUGCAGAAGGACACCAAUCAAAGUGUACAAUAUGCUAAAGAUGAGAUGCACCUGAGCUAAAUUUUUAGUGUCAAUGCAACGCUUCGCACUCUGCUAAACUGCAAUCUUGCAAAUCUGCAAAAGAUCUCUCACGAGAUAGUUGUGGUUAAUAACAAGUCAGGAUGUGGGAGAAGAUAUACUGAAAAUUAAAAACAGCACACAAGAGCUUCACUGCUGAAGGAAACAAAAGGAAAACAAGGGAAAGAGCACAUUCAAAGGUGAGUGAAAGAUGUCUUACCAGAGAUUUGUAGCGUUGGCAAACAGUUGGAUAUUGACGUUGGCCGUCCUCCUAAGCAUCUUUGGGCCAGGAUGUCACACAAAAGGAGAUCAAGACAAUGUAUCACAUCAGAAUCAAGAUUCUGUGAUUGAAAAAAAUCGCAGGUCAGACAAAACACUUUUAUUUAUUUAUUUAUUUAAAGCAGUAUUGUUCAUAAAUGGGAUACAAAAUAUGAAAAUCAACAGAAAAAAAAACAGAAUGGCCAGUGAAAGGAGAUUGACCUAGUGAAAACAUUGUUUGUCAACUUCAAGAUAUCAAACUAAAUAUUAUAUGAACUGUAUGUUACUUUUUUAAACAAAAAACCAUUAAACUGUGUUACAUCUUGUCAGAGCUGCUGUGUAUGUUGUAACUACUCUAGGGUUAUAAAGAAGGAAGUGACACACCAAAGGAUAAAACUAGUCUGGCUUGGCAAGGAGAGAAUACCCAAAUUUUAUAUUUAUAUAUUUAAAAUAUAUUUUUACUAUUUACUUCAACAUGUCAAGAGCAGAUCACAUUUAUUUAUUUAUUAUUUUUUAAUUUGUUUGUUUGUUUGAAUAAACAUAUAAUUAACUUUAAUCCAAUAUUUAAUCUAAUUUAAUUUAAUUAAAAAAAUAUAUAUAUUCUUCCAGUUUUCAAAGAGCAGAUCUUUGUGGUGGGCAGCGAUGUCACUUUAUGGUGUACCGAUAAUGCCACUGAUGUCAAAUUGAAUGAAUUCAUUUAUGUUGUGUGGAACAUGAGCAUGCAAGGCAAAAAAUGUUAUCUUGGUUUGUCACACAAACUGGAUGACACUUGUAAUGAUGGAAAGAAGCUGAACAACACUUCAUUUUCCUUAUUCAUUCCCAAUAUUUCAAUGGAAGAUGAAGGAAGAAGCAAUGCUGUAAAUAUCUCUGUAAGCGUUACUCGCCUGGAAACUCAGCUGGACAGUGAAAAUGGUCAGAGGAUUGCUGUCUGUAAGGCCACAUAUAAAGAGACGGAACCCACUCUUCACUGGGAACCUGCCUUGAACUUUUCCUCCAAAAACACUUUUCCCAAGAAGGUUGACACGUUUUUUAUUAUGGAGAAUCGUGUACAUCUGCCUAAUGAUGUGACCAUCAGUACCCUCACCUGCGUGGCCUCAUACCCCUCUGUGUCCGGCUCUGUGCAGCAUAAGAGCACACUUGAUCUUACAACACAAGGAAUAAGAUUUUGUCUCAGAAUGAAGGACAAAACACCCGAGAAGAGAUGAAGAAAUACAGAAGCAUAAACAGGAUGUGGGUGGCAAAAACAGGCAUGAUAAGAAAGUGAACUGGAGGGAGGUGUUUACCUGAGAACUGCUGACAUUACAUUUUAACAUAGAGCAUCUGAAAAAGUAGAGCAAAAGCACCAAAGAGGGCAUUAAAUAUGUCCAUAAUGAUCUAUGUUCAUUUUUUUCUUGAAUGAAGAUGCAAUUAAAUUUUUAUUUGGCCUUUGAGUCAACCAAAUUUAGUAAUAUAGUCCAACAUUUUGCUUGUGCUGUCUUUCUUUUAUAUAAAUGCCACGUGCUUUGAUUUUUUUAAUAUAAUGCCAAGACAUUUAAGUGUAGUUUAAGAGUCCAAAUGGUUUUGGGGCAAAUUGUAAAGCUAGCAGUUAUUUGAAGAAGUCUCACAAAUGUCCACAAAUCCUUUUUUUUUUUUUUUUUUUUUAAGAAAUAAGAGAUGCAUAAAACACAUUAUUCCCAAACUUA